GACGAACGCUGGCGGCGUGCUUAACACAUGCAAGUCGAACGGGCCCGCUCUCUUUUUUGGGGGUGGGUUGAGUGGCGAACGGGUGAGUAUCACGUGAGUAACCUGCCCCCUGCUCCUGGAUAACUGCUUGAAAGGGCGGCUAAUACGGGGUGUGCCGGCUGGUCCGCAUGGGCCUGGUCGGGAUAGUUUCAUCUUCGGGUGUUUCGGUGGGGGAUGGGCUCGCGGCCUAUCAGCUUGUUGGUGGGGUGAUGGCCCACCAAGGCGGCGACGGGUAGCCGGCCUGAGAGGGUGGGCGGCCACACUGGGACUGAGACACGGCCCAGACUCCUGCGGGAGGCAGCAGUGGGGGGUAUUGCACAAUGGGCGGAAGCCUGAUGCAGCGACGUCGCGUGAGGGAUGGAGGCCUUCGGGUUGUGAACCUCUUUCUCCGGUGGUGAAGGCCCUGUCCGUUGCGGCGGGGUUGACGGUAGCCGGGUAUGAAGCGCCGGCUAACUACGUG
rnacentral:rRNA from 1 species